UGCAGUGUCAUGGUCAUGGCUCACUGCAGCCUUGACCUCCCAGGCUCAAGCAAGCCUUGCACCUCAGU
rnacentral:miRNA from 1 species